CGAUCCUCUUCAAUGAAGAAGAAGCAGCCAUUUUGAUGGUUGCUGCUGAAGCCAAAACAACGACCCCAUGAGCUCUUGUUCUUGAAUGAAUUCACAGAGCUUCAGCAUCUUCUUCGACGGACUUUUCAGUCGUUAUUCUAAAUCUUGCACGCCAAAAACCUUGAAUUCCUUUUUCAUCUUCUUGGACAAAAACUAACGCCUAAGGCUAGCAAAGGAGAUCCGCCGUUGCUAAGAGACCACCGAUCUCCAGCCAUCUCCCUCACCAAUGACCUCUGAACCCACUCUUGGAGAAGUCGAUGAGCUGGGCUCUUUCGUGAUUGUCUCUAGAAAUUGAACUGGAGUUUGCUCAUACAGAGAACUUCGAUCUCUGUUCGAUUCUCACUACUGAUGGAGUUCGAUUUGACUUUGAGGUUGUCGCCAGUCGAUGUCCGUUCAUGGUGGCCUAGUUUGCAGUUCUGAUUUAGAGUCGUCAUUAGCGUUUUUCUGGGUUGAAGUUAGAUGCCGGAAAUCUGUUUGUAACCUCAAACUUUACAAAAUCAAUUGAAAUAUCUCUUCAAGGUUAGUUGGAAGAUUCUCCGUAUUCAGUUUGAUUUUACAUGAAUAAAUUGAUUGAAACUAUCUCUCAAUUUGGUGAAUGAACCCUGUUAAAUUCAAUUACUGUGUUUAUGAGUUAGUAGUGUUAGUCAUUAAACAGGGACAUUUCCGAACUAAGGCCAGCUUGUGACUGAAUUAAAGUCAUCUUCCUUUGGGAUUUUAUGUGUUGCUAAUGGACUUAGAAAAGAAACGAAUUUGCAGCCUUCUGCUUAGUUGUUGAUUGGAGCAUUUCUUGAAUAGUUCAUACUUGCUGAAUCUUGGCAUUGUUUUGUAUGCAUAAUAGCAUUUUGACCGUAUGCAUAAUAGCAAUUUGUACACAGAGACGGAGCUAGUAUUUAAAUAUUUCGUGUUUGGACUAUAA
rnacentral:lncRNA from 1 species